rnacentral:tRNA from 1 species
GGAUUGUAGCUCAGUGAUAGAGCACUCCCCUAUCACCGGCGGGACCCGGGUUCGAUCCUCAGCACCA